rnacentral:lncRNA from 1 species
CAGUAAUUCUAUAUAAUUGUAGGGGACAGUCUCACAACAUUUCUGAUUGAAAGAAAGCAGCAAAGAAGAUCUCUUUGGUCUAGAAGAUUGGAAGAGGUAUACAAGAUUGUGCUUCUUCUAACUAUGAAUAAUUCCUCAUUUGAAACUUACACAGUUGAAUUUAUCCAUAAUUUCCAAUUUCCUGCAUUCCCUUUCUUUCAUAUAAAAGCUUUGUACAUCAGUGGACAAGUAUGUUUUACAACAAUGGACUUGUUCUGUUCACUUACUUCCUGCAGAUUGUUGAAAAGGUUGUUGAUAUAGUUACCCAUGUGGAUGAAGUGAUUUUCCAGUUCAUUUGAAACCAUGGUAUGAGAUCAUAUCUAAAAACAAUUCAAAAUCAAUUGUUAUAUGUCUACUUUUGAUUUGUAUCGCUUACUUCCUGCAGAUUGUUGAAAAGCUUGUUGAUAUAGUUCCCCAUGUGUAUGAAGCGAUUUUGGAGUUCAUUUGAAACCAUGGUAUGAGAUCAUAUCUAGUAACAAUUCAAAAUCAAUUGUUAUAUGUUUAUUUUUUGUUUGUAUCUUUCAUCUGCGCAGUACUUGGAUUUCAGUGAAAUAUCAUUAGUAUUAGAAUACUAAAAUUUUGUGAAAUUGUGGAUUUGUAGCAAGUACAACAUCUGCAAACUCUUUUAUUUAUACUAUAUAUGUCCUGAACUAAUGCUUACAUCGUGAAGCCAAAGCAGUUUGACUCUUCUUCUCGAUUUAAUUUUCUUUUAUUGUAAUUUAUGUGAAUGAUUAUUAUUAUAUAAUAAAUAAUAAUAAUAAUAACUACUACUUCUUUGCUUGUCUUUAUAUUGUUGGUUUUGUUUUUGCAGAGUUGAUGAUUCUUGGUUUCCUUUCUCUGCUUCUGACUUUCGGGCAGAGUUACAUUGUUAGAAUAUGUAUUCCUACUGAUGUGGCAGACAAAUUGUUGUCAUGUCUGUUUGUUGGUACCGACAAAGAAUCAAGUAGUGAAGAGGAACACAGUAGGAAACUUCUUUCUAAUGAACAUAUAUAUUUGUCAGCCCUUACCAAUGUAAGAAGGUAACUAGGUUUCCUCGCUAAGAUUUUAUUUAAUUGAAUGAAACCUUAGUCUAUGUUCUUUUAUCUUAGUUAACUUAAAAGUAUUUCAAUACGAUAAUUUAGUUAACACUGUUUUUCAUGAUAUUUUGCAGAAUUAUGUUCAUAGAAACAAAUAACAUUUACGUAGUCCUGUCAUGUCAUGGACUAUUGUUUAAUGCACGCAUGUCGUCUUUAGUUGUAGAUUGACCAAUUGAAAACAAUUGCUUCUCUCAUUCAAAAUGCCAUUAAAUGUAUGCUUGGCUUAGGAAAAUAAGAUAUUUUAUGUUGAUUAAUUAUAGAUGUUACUGAUGUGGAUAUUUGCAUUUGGUUGCAUCAUUUCCAUUGCCAAAUACUGAAAUUUCACCUCGUUUUGGAAUCACCAAGUUAUGAGUUUUAUAGCGAGAAUUCGUCCAUGUCUUAGUUAGGUUUAAAAUUCGUAGAAACAUAGAAGAAAGCACUUAUAUCUGCUCAUUCAUGCCUGACCUUAUUUGCAAUUUUUUGUUUAUUCAUAUCUGUAGUUGCCUAUCUAAUUGUUGUUGGUUACAGGGAGAUCAUCAACCACUUAUAUCUGUCAAUGGAUUGCACACCAGUUACACAUUCUCAUAUUCUUCUCAGCAGUCCUUCAUGCAUUUUACAGUGCUGUAACAAUGCUUCUUGGGAGACUAAAGGUUUGGAUGUAUUUUUUUUUUCUUUCUUCUUUUUGUAGCUUUAUUGAUUGAAAACUUAGUUAAUUUUCCAUAUCUACGCAUUUUAAGGAUACCAAUUUGGUAAUAAUAAUCCUAUGGCUUCCUCUUUGCUUUGAAACCGUGAUGCCUAGAAGGAUUUAAUAGUUGAAAUUUCUUGUAAGUUCACAAUUUUUUUAAUUUUCUCCUAAGAAAAAGAAAAAGAAAAAGAAAAGUAGAUUUAGUUUAAACUUUAAAUUCAAGAUAUAGUAAUAAUGGCUCAAAUUUAUGUUCUGAUCAGAUUAUAUCUCCAUUGGUGUUAGUGCAUGUAUAAGAGGGAAUUAAAAUAUAUUAGAGGCAAUUGUAGGUAGGUUAAAAGCUGCUGCAGAAUACAUAUACAUACAUAUAAUAAUAAUAUAACAUAACAUAAUAAUAAUAAUAAUAAUAAUUCAAGACCAAAGUAAGGUACAUCAACUUCAACAUAGAAAUGAAAUUGAAAUCUUGGCUUGGGUGAUUAAUCCGAAAUAUGAUGGUUUAUGUUAUAUCCUAAAGUUUUGGGAUUUGAUUAAUAUUAUUGUUGGGUUGUUAAGAUUUAAUUAGUAGAUAUUAGGAUUUUAUCAUUUAUUUAAUUAGUAGAUAUUAGGAUUUUAUCAUUUAUUUAAUUAGUUAGGAUUUUAUCAUUGAUUUAAUUAGUUAGGAUUUUUUUAGGAUUAACCAUGUUGUGUCAAUAUACAAAGACUUUGGAACAGAUACACGGGGUGUGGUACUGAACUUUCUAAUCAUCCUCUGCUAGCGAAUUGCUGCACAGUAUUGUCAGUUUUUUCUGCUUACUUUUUUAAAUCAGCCUAUUUUCCAUCCCCAUCCUCAUCUGGCCUCUCCAAUGGAGAACUAAAGGUUUCGCCUAUCAAUGAGAAAGCAACAAAUGUACUGGAAACAGCUGACGAUAAAAAAGGUUGUUUCUGCUCCACAUAGGAUGGGGUAGGGGGUUUAUUGUGUUUCUCUUGUGUGUAGAUUUUUGUUUAAGUCUAGGUUUAAGACUUAGUUAAAAGUUUCUAAUAGGAUGUUUGACAGAGUUGCUUUUUUGAAAUCUUGUUUGUUUUUGAGNNNNNNNNNNNNNNNNNNNNNNNNNNNNNNNNNNNNNNNNNNNNNNNNNNNNNNNNNNNNNNNNNNNNNNNNNNNNNNNNNNNNNNNNNNNNNNNNNNNNUAUUAACAGGAAAAUAAUCUUGAUUAAGUGGUGAGUGUGCACACUCAUGACUAAAACAAGAUGAUUUUCUAUCUUAAUUUUAAAAGUUUGGAGUGUACUUAAAAUAUAUGUCUUAGGAUGAUUAUUUAUAUUUUUGUGUAAUUGUAUGAUAGACGAAUAUUGAAUUUUAGAGUAAAAUGUCUCUCUCUGUAUAUUAUGUGUUUAUUUUAGAUUUUGAAUUGUUUUUUUGGUUAAUAGUUUUAGAUCAACAUUUGUGUUGGUGUAGUAUGUUUGUACACAGUGGGUGUCUGUUAAUUAUUGAUGGACUCAAAUUCUAAAUGAAUUUGAGACGUAUGUAUUUGAAGGACCUGGGUAUAAUCUGAGAUGAAUUGACUUUAUGUUAAUUUCAUUCUUUUUAGUUCGAUGAAGCGAUUUUCCAGUUCAUUUGAAACCAUGCUAUGAGAUCAUAUCAUAUAACAAUUCGAAAUGAAUCUAUUUUUGGUUUGUAUCACUUACUUCCUGCAGAUAGUUGAAAAGCUUGUUGAUAUAGUAACCCAUGUGGAUGAAGCGAUUUUUCAGUUCAUUCGAACCCAUGGUACGGGAUCAUGUCUAAUAACAAUUCAAAAUCAAUUGCUAUUAUGUCUAUUUUUGAUUUGUAUCACUUGCUGCAGAUUGUUGAAAAGCCUGUUGAUACGGUUACCCAUGUGGAUGAAGCGAUUUUUCAGUCAUUCGAAACCAUGGUAUGAGAUCAUAUCUAAUAACAACUCAAAAUCAAUUGUUAUGUCUAUUUUUGAUUUGCGUAUUUCAUCUGCAUAGUACUUGGAUUUCAGUCAUUAGUAUUAGAAUACUAAAUUUUGUGAAAUUGUGGAUUUGUGGCAAGUACGACAUCUGCAAACUCUUUUAUUUAUACUAUAUAUCUCAUAGGUUUCAUUAAAUUAUUCAGACAACUAAAUUGGAUUCCUUUUUUUAUUGUCAGUUGGAUUUAAGUAUUAAUCCCAUUUUUUGCAAAUUAUCUGCAAAUCAAUCUUCUGCAGUAACUCUAUAUAAUUGCAGGGGACAGUCUCACAACAUUUCUGAAGAUCUCUUUGGUCUAGAAGAUUGGAAGAG